rnacentral:rRNA from 1 species
UACGUAGGGUGCGAGCGUUACUCGGAAUUACUGGGCGUAAAGCGUGCGCAGGCGGUUCGUUGUGUCGGCGGUGAAAGCCCCGGGCUUAACCUGGGAAUGGCCGUCGAAACUGGCGAACUGGAGUGUGGCAGAGGGGGGUGGAAUUCCGCGUGUAGCAGUGAAAUGCGUAGAGAUGCGGAGGAACACCGAUGGCGAAGGCAAUCCCCUGGGCCUGCACUGACGCUCAUGCACGAAAGCGUGGGGAGCAAACAGG